CCUUAUCCGCCUCCCUCACCCCAUCUUCUCCUCCUUCGACUGAAACCCUAACACGCUCACCCCAUCUUCUUUUCUUUCUACUGAAACCCUAACACACUAAAUCGAAGUAGAGUUAUUACUCUCGAUCUACUUCAUAACCAAACCUUGAGUUUUCAGAAUCAAGGAGGAGGAGGAAAUAACCCCAUAGCUUCAACCUUACCAGAACGCUGCUCUUUUCUCCAUCUUCUUCAUCUCCCUCCUCCAAAUCAGAGAAACAAAACCGUAAUCCAUAUACCGAUAAAUCAAUACUCUAAUUUCAUUGGAAAUUUAUUUUAAUGGAACCCAGUAAAUCUCAAGUUCUCUUAAGAUUUGGAUUGAAAUUAGAGUUUUGAUUUGGGGGUUUUGUUAGGGUUUCUUUUGAUUUCAUGGAAAAUACGUUUGGUUUGAUUUUCUAAACAAGAGCAGAGACUGAAACCCUAUAGAGAAACCCAUAACUGCUAUUUUUUCCUUCUCUUUUCUCUUCAACCUUGACACCAAUUUCUUUCCCGUCACCCGUUUACCUUCAUCUACUUUCGAGCAGCAAUAGUGAUUCAGCCAAAUACAUCAGUAUUGGCCAGAAAGAGUAAAAAAGACAUUUCCAGAAGAAAAUCAUAAGAAUUUACACCAUGCGAUUUUUUUUUUAAUACGGUUCAGUUCAAAAUUAAUCAGUACCUGGAGAAAUUAGUGAUUAUUACUGAAUUAGGUGUGGAUCAUUCUUAUAUUUCCUACUUAAAUUUCAGUUUUUUCAUGAAUUUUAGCAAAAUUGAAAACUUAGGGUUUCAUAAAUUUGGGGAUUUUAUUGGGGGUUUUAGAUAUGAAUAAUUGUGUUGAAAUUGAAUAAUUGAUACUCUGAUAUGAAUUGGGUUUUCUUUCAAAUCAAGUUUUAUCACUCUAAUUUGUGUUUAAUGGAUUUUUAAUUUUCUUUCUUUCAUGGAGGGGUUUGAAUAUGAGGGAUUAUUAAAAUUUUUUAAUUUUUAAUAAUAGAAGAUGGGUUCUGCUGAUGGUUGUUAUUGACAAAAAAUCAAUGGAGGGGUUUGAAUAUGAUGCCAUAUUCUUGAAGCUGCAGCUGGGAAUGUUAAGGAAUCAGUAAUGAUCAAUGAUAUGGGUUUUACUGUGGUUGCACAUGGGUCUGAGACAAUUGAUAAGAAAAUGGAAGAUGACAUGGAUUUAUGAUAUUUUUUAGUUUGUUUUGCUUCCGAAAGAAAUUUGUUGAGAAGGUGUUUUGUGAUGUGUAUUUGUAAUGGAGAAACUGUAGCUGCAGGGAUGGAUGGCAGACAAGAGGUAAUUAAAAACUUCAAAAUUCGCUUUGGUUUCACUAUACAGGUUUAAGAACACAAUCAGUAGGAUGAUGUUUGUCCAAGUAGCAUAUGCUUCAUCGUGUUUCUAUUUUCCUAUGUUUAGCAAUCAGUUGAAGAAGAUUCAACAUCUUCACUACCAUUUGUUGAAGCAUCUCAGGUAUAACUUCUCCCUCAUCUUUCAAUUUUUUGUUAACAAAGUUAUAGAAGUCAAUUUGUUUUACUCUUGUGUUAAUGAAGCAAUUAGAUCCAGAUUUUUUUUAAGUUUCAGGGUUUUUAUUUAUAUUAUGUACGGUGAUGGUUUGGAAGUUUUUAUAUAAUUUUAUGGGUUUCUAAAUGAUUCUGAUGUUGGGUUUAUAAAUUGUUGUUCAGGAUAAUUGUAUUGGAGAUCUUGAGGAUUCUAAGUGAAACAGCAGAAUUUAUAAUGCUGUCUUAUGAGUGUAGAUCUUUGUGUUUAAUGCUUAUUGUUUUCUAGAAUGAUGUAGGAAUUCAGGAUAUAAAUUCAUGGUCUUAUUGUUUUGUGUAUUUAUGUGUACCCACAGCUAGCUGCUUGCAUGAUCCAUGAUUUCGACUUUGCUAUUUCAUGCCCAAAAGACUAACUUACUUUGUUAAGCAGAGCGGCCUUUGAAGGUAGCUACUUGUGGUCAAUUUAUUAACAUCUGAUCAACAGAAUGUGGCACCCUAUCCUGUAAACAGGACUAUCUUUUGGCAUAUAUGUUUAAUCGAUAUGAAUUAUUUGUAUGAGUAACUUUUAGCGCAUUUGAAUUUUGGUUUAUUGUUCCUGUGCUUAAUUGAUAUGAAGCAAGGACUUCCGUUCUAAGUGCUAUAUAUUUUAUAGGGAAGAGCUUAAGUUAUGAGACGAUGAAAGAAUUUUAUGAUAACAUCCCUGCUCGUGCUUUCUAUAAUUUCCAGUUUUUUUCUUCAGGCCAUUGCGAGUAUUUUGGCUGUGGCUGUUUGAACAUAAUCUAACUGGCACCCGGUCCUUUAUUUUUUUGUUCAAGCAGUUCUCGAAACAACAAAUCAGUAGAGAGGGUUCCUCUUCCUCCACCACUUUAUAGUGCAGCAGCGGCAAAUUCCUCCUGUACUAAACCCAGUCCCAGUCCUUCUAGCAGUUUCAAGCAAAGUUCACCACCCUAUUCUGGACCUAAACCAUCUGUUGGCACAGCUCCGCCUGCAAGUUUUUCUGAUUUUUAUAAUAAGGAAGUAUAGUGACAAACUUGAACAUCCAAUGUAUUUUCCCAACUUCCCUGAUAUGAAUUUUACGAGCUUCAAGCAAUGAGCCACAUGGCUUUGGAUUUGUGAAGUUUCAUGGCGCGGAAGAUGCUACUGAAGCGAAGGAACAUUCUAGAUCACCUUUGCCGCCCAGGCGCAGUUCAAGGUAUUCAAGAUCAGCUUCACCGGCCACCCACAGUUCAAAGUAUUCAAGAUCACCUUCACCAGCCAGGCACAGUUCACCCUCUCACCUUCACCAGCCAGGUGCAGUUCAACGUAUUCUAUCACCUUCACUAAUCAGGCAUGACUCUGUGAAUUCGCCCUCGCCUUCACCAGCCAACCAUGAUUCUAGGAAUUCGACCUCGCCAUCACCAGCCAAGGGAUGACUCAAGGUAUUCACGAUAGCCUUCACCAAUCAAGCAUGGCUCGAGCCGUUCACAACUGUCUUCACCAGUCGGGUUGGCCGUUGGUGUUCAAGCACCGAAAAUGCAAAAUUGGUUUCUUGGGGGCAUACAAUGAAGAUAUUUCUUUGCUGGGAAACGAUAAUAAGAUGACAGCUGUGGCCUGUAGCCCAGAACUCCGACGAGGUUCCGGUCACCAUUUUUUUUUAUUUUAAUGCAACUAAGAUUAUCACGAAAUAACUGGAUCAAUUUUUGAAAACUGUGACUAAAUAAAGACACGUGUUUUCUUUAGAAUUGUUGCAAACAUUGAUUUAACAAAUAUAAACGUUACAUAAAGUUUGAGUUUUGUGA